CACAGUCAGAGAUCAGAGGCCACACCAUCCUAGCAGUGGAGCAGGACCAGCUGGGACAGGGUCCUUCUGUGACACCUGCUGCAUCACCAGCCUAUGUGAAUGGAUUCAGCUGCCAGAACUCACAGAGUAUCAGUAUUAGCACCGAAACCUCACAGGAAAAAUGCUCCACGUUUAGCUCCAUGAACUUCAGACUUAAACAGCAUCACUGGCUCCUGACCAGGAUUCCAGCUCCACAAACCUCAAACUAGAACACCAGCCUGGCUUCUCCACAGGUCUCCAGCUCCAAAACCUAAGACAUCAGUGGCAGUACCUACUCCUCCCAGGGGGCUCCAGCUCUGAGACCCUCAGACUUGAACCGCAGCACCAGCUGUUCCCCAGAUCUCCAGCUCCAUGACCCUCAGACUUAAACAACAGCAGCACCAGCUCAUCCGUGGGUCUAUAUCUCCACGACCCUCAAGCUAGGAAAACAUCAGCUCCUCCCCGGGUCUCCAACCGCACGACCCUCCAACUAGAAACACACCAGCUCCUCCCUCAGUCUCCAGCUCCACAAGCCUCCCACUAGAACGAAGUUUUUGAAAUCAUCGUUUCUCAACACCCGAAUUGUGACUCCCUGGACUCUGAGACUCAGGGGAGGUGCCGGCACGGCAGAAGCAGGAAAAAGCUGAGCGGUCAGUGAACAGGCGCAAGUGUACAGUGAGAUGGAAGGAAUAAUACGUUCCAGCCUUCAGGAGCAGGUGAACGGAUGCAAACGUAUGGUGAGAUGGAAGGAAUAUGUUCCAACCUU
rnacentral:lncRNA from 1 species